GCGGAGGGUUUUCCUUACGACCGGAUGAACGGCACAGGCUGUUUCUCUCUUACGGUUGACGUGUUUGCUCUUCGAAUGUAGCAUUGAAAAACAAUGACGCGAGAGACGCGUCUCGUGAAUGUCACUCGGGAGGGAACAGAUACACACGGCCAACCCGUACCCGGUCGAGCCUCGGUGGAAGCGUGCCGCGAUCCGUUCGAAUCCAUUCUGCGUGGUGAUUGGAGCAGACCGUGCCUGACUGAAAGCGCAAAGACGAAUGCCACGGGCUGUUGCGGUUGACGCGUCAUUGUUUUUCAACGGCAAAAUUGAAGAGCGAACGCAAGAGACGCGUCUCGUGGAUGUUACUCGGGAGGGAACAGAUACACGCGGCCAACCCGUACCCGGUCGAGCCUCGGUGGAAGCGUGCCGCGAUCCGUUCGAAUCCAUUCUGCUUGGUGAUUUGAGCAGACCGCGCCUGACUGAAAGCGCAAAGACGAAUGCCACGGGCUGUCGCGGUUGACGCGUCAUUGUUUUUCAACGGCAAAAUUGAAGAGCGAACGCGAGAGACGCGUCUCGUGGAUGUUA